UACGUAGGGACCAAGCGUUGUUCGGAUUUACUGGGCGUAAAGGGCGCGUAGGCGGCAAUUCAAGUCAGCUGUGAAAUCUCCGGGCUUAACUCGGAACGGUCAGCUGAUACUGCUUUGCUAGAGUGCAGAAGGGGCAACCGGAAUUCUUGGUGUAGCGGUGAAAUGCGUAGAUAUCAAGAGGAACACCGGAGGUGAAGACGGGUUGCUGGGCUGACACUGACGCUGAGGCGCGAAAGCUAGGGUAGCAAACGGG
rnacentral:rRNA from 1 species